UCUCCUUCUUCUUCUUCCAUCUCACAUUGCUUCCAUCCUCCAUGGAAGCUUGAUAUGAAACUUUCACAACUUUCUCUCUCUAGCUCUAAUUUUCAUACCUUUGUGCCCUUUUGACUAGAACCCUUGUGCUCUUUUACUCUCUCACUUUAAAACCCUCAAAACGUUCUUGUUCAGCACUUUCUCUCACUAGUUGAAGGUUUUAGAGAGAGAAAGAGAGAUUUUCCACAUUUGUUUGGAAGCUAUUGGAAGAGAAUUCAACUACAAAAAAACCCUCAGGUGAGUGAUGAACUAGGCUUGGUUUUAAGUUAUUGAUAAUGGCUAGUAAUUGGGAUUAUGAGCUAUUUUAUUGUUGAGUUGUUUACUCAUUUUUAGUGUGAUUAGAGUAAUGCAAGGAAUAACCAUUUGAUAUAGUUAGAAGCCAAUUAGGAAUGACUAGCAAAAUUUGAAUUAGAAACUAGAUUUUGGAGUGAUAUUAAUGUAAAUUGGAUUGGUUGUGAUGUAGUGUGUGUAUAAGUUCCAACAAGGCCUCACAUGUCCAUUUGGAGUAUUAGUUGAGGUUAGAGUCAAGCA
rnacentral:lncRNA from 1 species